GAACUGAAGAGUUUGAUCAUGGCUCAGAUUGAACGCUGGCGGCAGGCCUAACACAUGCAAGUCGAGCGGAUGAAGGGAGCUUGCUCCUGGAUUCAGCGGCGGACGGGUGAGUAAUGCCUAGGAAUCUGCCUGGUAGUGGGGGAUAACGUCCGGAAACGGGCGCUAAUACCGCAUACGUCCUGAGGGAGAAAGUGGGGGAUCUUCG
rnacentral:rRNA from 1 species